rnacentral:rRNA from 1 species
UACAGAGGGUGCAAGCGUUAAUCGGAAUUACUGGGCGUAAAGCGCACGUAGGCGGUUUUUUAAGUCAGAUGUGAAAGCCCCGGGCUCAACCUGGGAAUUGCAUUUGAAACUGGCUAACUAGAGUAUGUGAGAGGGGGGUAGAAUUCCAAGUGUAGCGGUGAAAUGCGUAGAGAUUUGGAGGAAUACCAGUGGCGAAGGCGGCCCCCUGGCACAAUACUGACGCUGAGGUGCGAAAGCGUGGGGAGCAAACAGG